rnacentral:rRNA from 1 species
GAUGAACGCUGGCGGCGUGCUUAACACAUGCAAGUCGAACGAAACACCUUAUUUGAUUUUCUUCGGAAAUGAAGAUUUGGUGAUUGAGUGGCGGACGGGUGAGUAACGCGUGGGUAACCUGCCCUGUACAGGGGGAUAACAGUCAGAAAUGACUGCUAAUACCGCAUAAGACCACAGCACCGCAUGGUGCAGGGGUAAAAACUCCGGUGGUACAGGAUGGACCCGCGUCUGAUUAGCUGGUUGGUGAGGUAACGGCUCACCAAGGCGACGAUCAGUAGCCGGCUUGAGAGAGUGAACGGCCACAUUGGGACUGAGACACGGCCCAAACUCCUACGGGAGGCAGCAGUGGGGAAUAUUGCACAAUGGGGGAAACCCUGAUGCAGCGACGCCGCGUGAGUGAAGAAGUAUUUCGGUAUGUAAAGCUCUAUCAGCAGGGAAGAAAAUGACGGUACCUGACUAAGAAGCCCCGGCUAACUACGUG